CCAAUCCUUGAUUUCAGGGAACACAAAAUCAAAUUGGAGACUAGAGACACAUGAGGGCGUAAUUGAGAAGAUAAGAGAAUAUAUGAUAGAUAAUGAAUGAGCAGCAAUUCAGAGUCGUGAAAACACUCUUUUUUUUUGUUUUUUUGGUGAGGAAGCUUGGCCCUGAGCUAGCAUCUAUUGCCAAUCUUCCUCUUUUUUUUUUUUCUCCCCAAAGCCCCAGUGCAUAGUUGUAUAUCCUAGUUAUAAGUCCUUCUAAUUCUUAUACCUGGGAUGCCACCACAGCAUGGCUUGAUGAGCGGCGCUAGGUCCACACCCAGGAUCCGAACCGGUGAACCCUGGGCCACUGAAGCAGAGUGAACUGAUCUGAAGGUUGACGCCCAUCAGUCUACAUGAGACUUUAUUCCACAGAUAACAGACAACCGUGGAGGAUUUUCAGCGUAGUAAUUGUGCAGUGUCAAGAUGACCCUGAUAACAAGAGCAGUGACGCUUUAUUGACUGGACCAAGUGCCUUGUGUGUGUCAACUUGUUCAACUCUCAUCAUCUAAAGAUCGGGUAAUAUUAGCUCCAUCUGUAUUGACUGAAGCUCUAAGAGGCUAAGGAAAUUACUCAAAUCACACAGUUAUCAAACGGCUUAGCCAAGACUUGAACCCUGGUGUGUUUUAAUUCAAUUUCUGUACUUCCCUCCCUCGGGGAUUCACUGGUGGUGACAAGAAGCAUGGACAGGACAACACUUGGACCAUUUGCAGCCCUUACGCUUGGGUGUCUGAAAUAUGAAAAUGCAGAUUUGCCAAUCUGUGACUCAAGCAGAGACUUAGUGAUGAAAAGACAUACACUUCCUCUCACCAUGUGUUUUCAACACUGCCUCUCCCGAGCCUGGGACCCCUCCAAGGAUGAAUUGCUUGGAAUAUGAGGACAAAAUGGAGAAGUGUUCCGUCCAUUACUGUAAGAUCAAGUCUGACUUCAUCUCCGUCUUCAAUUAAUCAUUCUCAAUCAGAUAACUCCAAGAGGUGUCAGGUUUUGCUCGAUGAACUCAAAAGGAAAAUCUGUUUCCUAUCCUCUUCAGACUUACUUAUCUGAAUAUUUGCGUUUAGUAUUUGACCAAUGCUAAUGUCUACUGUUGGGUGUCGUGAUAGUAAACCCACAAAUUCUUUCCAUCUUUAGACAAAUGUUUCACUGUGUAUUAAUUUUGAUUCAUCUCAAUAAUGGUGAUAAUAUAACAUUCAUUUGAGGUUUCGGUAGCUAGUACUUGCAUCUUGACACAAAUUGCUUUAUAAUUCAGUCUUUAUUUUCUGGUUGCCUGAAAUAGUAUCCUCAGUAGCUAAGGCCUUUCGUCAAAAAACUGCUCCCAAAUAUUGUGUUCUAAUGCCGCUUUAUUUGCUGUGGAGCAGAGUUUUAGUGAACUCAUGGAAGGUUUGAAAUCCAACGUCCAUCCACUGCUGAACCACCGGGAGCAAUAAAUGGCCUUUUCCUGUUGGUGAUUGAAUAACAGAGUGCAGCUGAGGCAUCUCGUAAUCACCAGGACCAAAUAUGCUACUGAAUGAAUUCUCCUACUGUGGGAGAAAUCUUUCUAACACACAGGAGGAAAGGAGGAAAGAAACCAGCCUCUCAAAGCUGUGGGCUGUGGCAGGACCGUGAUGGUUAUCUUCCUGGGGGAUCAUCAACAUCCCCUAAAGGUGGAAUGACUGGCUCAGCUGAAUGGGCCAGGGAACACGAAUCUGAAAUCAAACGUUGGUUGAAGGGCACAGUCAAUGAGGAAAGGCAGCGGAUGUAUGUGGACAAUCACGUGUGCCGGGGUGUAAGUUUGGUUCAUUUGGAAUUGAGAGCAGCUGAAUCUCCUUGUUGCUCAGUGAUCAACACAUCUUCUGGGAAAACCAUCCCGUUUCAGACAACUUCCAGCCUGAGGAUUCGGCAGGACUCUCUCCCUCUCACAUAAUUUCACUUCCUUAGCGUGUCACUGGAUGAGCAGCGUCAGCCUCCUGUGGAGCUCAUUAGAAAUGCGGGCUCUCAGGCUCCAUUGCAGACCUGUGGCAUCAGAAUCUGCUUUUUAGUAGGAUUCCAAGGCCGCUACAGCAGACAGAGCUUCCAGGCCGUCUACACUAUUGCCACAGCUCUCAUAGACUCCCCAGGCCUUGACCGUGAAGGAUGACAAGUGCUCAGUUGAUGGAGACGGGUGGAGGGGGCAUGGUCUGGGCCAGGGGGCUGUCACCAAGGAAGGGAUAUAGAAGCUUUCACUCCAGUGGCUAAAGGGACACUUGCAAUCUUGUCCUCGUCUGGGCUGGCAUUUGUGUCCAAAGGUCCACCCAGCACAGUCUGACGCAGGCCUGGUUAGCAGAGGUCUCCCUGAGAGGGAUCUCAUUGUCGUGAUCUACAGGAGCCAGGAAGAGGAGCCAGCCCUCGGAGGGGGCUGGUCAGCUGGGGCCAUGACAACAGGCCGCACUCAAAGGAACAGGUCCCCUUCAGCUCCAAAAGAUUGGCGUCAUCUGAGAAUGUGGACCCAGCGUGGGCAGAUUUUUCUAGUGUCUAGAAGUGACUGUGCAAACCCAAAACAAAACUAAAAAGACAUGUUUGUGGGCCACCAAGAACCUCUGGUAUGAAGUAAAUUAUACAGGCAUUGGACAGUAACAACCCAUCCAAGGGAGCUGUGGGCGGAGGUGUGGCAUCUGCUCAUUCCUGUUGUAGGGAGGUGAGCUCUACCACGGGGCAGUGGAGUGAACAAUGCCCGGAGAUUAUCCAAAACCCUUUGCUUUAAUUUUCCGCUCACCCAACAGACUUCUGCUUACUAAUUCAGGUUUACAACAAAGUUUAAAACCAGCAAGGGGGGGAUCUGGAUAAGGCACUAUACCUAUUUCGGUCCCCGGAAAGGGCUAUUCCUGCAUAUCAAUAAAUCAGCAUUCUGAUUUCCUACUGACCUCUUUGCUGAAUUUGUCUGCCUUGUAGAGCUUUGGGCAGCUCUGGGUAAGCUAACGAAAUAAAAUUCUGGUGCUGAAAAGCUGUUUGUGACCCUGAUCAACAGUGACCUAGGUUUGGUCACUGCUCCCUCUCCAGACACCAACCAGUGGGCUAUCUCUCUGUGAAUGUGGCAGGCACCAUUUUGCUGGGGAAGGAGGUUAAAUCUUCAGCCUUGUCAUAGACUCAGCUUUGUAAUUCAAGACUCUUUUCUCUCAUCCUUUGAUUUUCAGCCCCCAGACUUUUCUCUCCAUGUCCUUGCCCCCCGGCACUUCCAAUUGUCUAGCAACUAACUGUAUUUGGGCAUUCCCUGUCUUCCCAAAUUAUCUUUACUCUUCUUCCUUACUUCUUCAUCCUUCUCUUGUUUUAUUCCUUUCAUUACUUUUUGUUCUUUUAUUUUGCAAACUCACCUGCUUCCUCAGUGAUCUUUUUAAGAUCCCAUAUGUUACAGAUUCAUGAGGAUGGAAACAUUCCUUUAGAGCUGGGCUGACCAAUGUGGUAGCCGCUAGCUACACGUGAUUAUCGAACAUGUGAAAUGUGGCUUGUCUGAAAUGAGACGUGUGGUAAGCGUAAAAC
ensembl:lncRNA